rnacentral:pre_miRNA from 1 species
CAANUCUGUCCCAAAUUUCUUGUCUUAGAUUUUUCUAGAUACAGAUGUAUCUAAUACUAAAAUGUGACUUGAUACAUCCGUAUCUAGACAAAUCUAAGACAAGAAUUUUGGGACGGAGGGAGUACUUU